GUACAUUUGUAUCUACGGCAGGAAGUGCCGAAAGUUACGCCUUUGGAGAUACGAUGUGUGAGACCUGUAGGGAAUGCGUUGGAGCUCAAACUCUGUAAAAUCCC
rfam:Helicobacter felis ATCC 49179 genome.